rnacentral:lncRNA from 1 species
AUGGAACAGGUGAACCUAAGGGUGCUUAUCCUUAAGUUAGAAGUCAUUCCUGGUCUCUGCUUUUCUGAACUGGACUCAGCAGCCCUCCAAGUACAAUUUUUAGAGACCAACUGGAAAGAGAAAGAACUGAAAGCUUCUAAGAAACAUCUGUCUUCAGAGGAAGGAGAGAGGAACUCCUGUCAGAGGCUUCUAUUCACCAAAAACCUCUCUGUUCUUGAUCAAUACCUGUUUGAUGCUGAUGCCAUUUAUCAUCAGGCGUAGUUUGAGUCUUCCUGCCUUCUGUUGUUUGGUGUUUAUUUUACCUGAGGACUGGAUUUAUUCUUAAUCAUUUCCCCUUUGGAAAUAUUGCUUAGAAAGCAAAAGGAACAUCUUGAUUCAAAUGGAAUUUAAUCUUCUGAGUUCUUCCCAGGCAAUACCUCCUCAUUACAGCUUGUUUCAUGCAGACUCUGGGAUGGCAGGUUGAACAAGUCAAAAGAGGUGGGUAGGCAUCUAAAAGGUAAAUGAUCCAAUUAUAACUGGUUUAUCCCAGAUAGCUCAAAGCCUUGGGAACAGAGACAAACUAGUCUAGUGGCACUUGCCUUGCUUCAGGAGAUCAACCAUGAGGAACAAAAUUGUCAAGGGAAAAAUAAAAGUUUUAGAAACAACA